GCCGAAGUGGUGGAAUUGGUAGACACGCCAUCUUGAGGGGGUGGUGGGCAACGCAUGUGCCGGUUCGAGUCCGGCCUUCGGCACCA
rnacentral:tRNA from 1 species